GCCUUCUGGUUGUAAAGCUCUUUCGCUAGGAAGAAAACUUACAUUCUAGUAAAGUGUGAGGCUGACGGUACCUUGAUAAGAAGCACCGGCUAACUACGUGCCAGCAGCCGCGGUAAUACGUANGGUGCGAGCGUUAAUCGGAAUUACUGGGCGUAAAGCGUGCGCAGGCGGUUUUGUAAGUCAGAUGUGAAAUCCCCGAGCUCAACUUGGGAACUGCGUUUGAAACUACAAGACUAGAAUAUGUCAGAGGGGGGUAGAAUUCCACGUGUAGCAGUGAAAUGCGUAGAGAUGUGGAGGAAUACCAAUGGCGAAGGCAGCCCCCUGGGAUAAUAUUGACGCUCAUGCACGAAAGCGUGGGGAGCAAACAGGAUUAGAUACCCUGGUAGUCCACGCCCUAAACGAUGUCUACUAGUUGUUGGUGGAGUAANAUCCAUGAGUAACGCAGCUAANGCGUGAAGUAGACCGCCUGGGGAGUACGGUCGCAAGAUUAAACUCAAAGGAAUUGACGG
rnacentral:rRNA from 1 species